rnacentral:lncRNA from 1 species
CCAGUUGAGAAAUGUUUGAGGGAUGCUAAGAUGGACAAGAGCACUGUCCAUGAUGUUGUUCUUGUUGGUGGUUCCACUAGAAUUCCAAAGGUCCAACAACUUUUACAAGAUUUCUUCAAUGGGAAGGAGCUUUGCAAGAGCAUCAACCCUGAUGAGGCCGUUGCAUAUGGUGCUGCAGUCCAAGCUGCUAUAUUGAGUGGUGAAGGUAAUGAGAAAGUGCAAGAUCUCUUGCUCUUGGAUGUCACUCCAUUGUCUUCCGGUUUGGAAACCGCUGGUGGUGUUAUGACCGUUUUGAUUCCAAGGAACACCACCAUUCCAACCAAAAAAGAACAAGUCUUCUCAACCUACUCCGACAACCAACCUGGUGUGUUGAUCCAAGUUUACGAAGGUGAAAGAACAAGGACCAGAGACAACAACUUGCUCGGUAAAUUUGAGCUCUCUGGCAUCCCUCCUGCUCCUAGAGGUGUCCCACAGAUCACUGUCUGCUUUGAUAUCGAUGCUAAUGGUAUCUUAAACGUAUCUGCCGAAGACAAAACCACUGGACAAAAGAACAAAAUCACCAUCACAAACGACAAGGGCCGACUCUCCAAAGAAGAAAUUGAAAAGAUGGUUCAAGAAGCAGAGAAAUACAAAUCCGAAGAUGAAGAACAUAAAAAGAAGGUCGAGGCAAAGAAUGCAUUGGAAAACUAUGCAUACAAUAUGAGGAACACAGUGAAGGACGAGAAGAUUAGUGCUAAACUCCCAGCAGCUGAUAAAAAGAAGAUUGAAGAUGCUAUUGAACAAGCCAUUCAAUGGCUAGACAGCAACCAACUCGCCGAAGCCGAUGAAUUUGAAGACAAGAUGAAGGAGUUGGAGAGUAUUUGCAACCCCAUCAUUGCUAAGAUGUACCAAGGUGCCGGCGGUGACAUGGGUGGUGGCAUGGAUGAGGAUGUUCCGGCUGGUGGAAGUGGUGCUGGUCCUAAGAUUGAGGAAGUUGACUAAAUCAUUGAUUUUCUUCACCUGGUUUCUCUAUUGUUCUCUUAUGUUUUUUGGGAUUUAAACUGUUUGGUUUUGUUGUUUGGUUUCUAAUCGGAUUGAAAUGAACUUUUAUAGGGUUUGUUCCUUUUUUGGGAUACUCUAUCAGUAGC